UUGAUGAACAAGAUGAACAUUGUAUAUUUUUGCUGUUAAAAGUAACACAAGACUACAGAAAUAAGGUAAGUUACUGUAAUAUUACUUUAUAAUAACAUUACUUAUCAUGUAUUACUGUCUGUUUAUAAAAUAAUGAAUUUUUAUUGCUAUAAUUCGCUGUUCAAUCCGACAGAACACUGUUUGAUAAAACUUGAUCGAUAGACGACGAAAAUGGGCUUCAUCCAUAUUAGUCUAUGUACUUUAUCAAAGGUAGACAAUAUAAAUUCGUAGACUAGUUUAGCUCUGUUGGCUUAAACACAAUUAUUGAAUUGCAACGACAAUAUAGAAUCAAUUAAGUAUUGAAAUAAAAUUUUGAAUAAUACAUAAAAGUUGAAAUAUUCGAAUUGAAUAAAAGACUCUUGCUUAUAUUUAAUUUCGUUCAUGCUUAUACUGUAUGCUUUAUGCGUGGUCUAUAAUUUGGUAUAAACUUCAAGUAUUUGGAACAAGGAUAAACUGACAAUUGAUAUAGCAAAUAUACAGUUAAUUUUUUUAAAAUUCUGUGUUUGCAGUGGCUUUUUAAGAUGAUUUUCUGAGUGCAUGUUGUUUUGCUACACGUAUGGCGAAAUAAUUUCAGACUAUUCAGUUCAUGUCCAUAUUAUUUUGGAAGUUUAUAUUUAUAUUUGAUGCACAACCAAGCGCUUUAUCUUUCUUUACAAGUCAUUGUAGAUCGACAAGUUUAACAUCUUUCCUUGUCCAUUUGCUGUACCAGAGUUUAAUACUUCGUUACAAUAGAUUUGUCUGUCCAUCUGGUGGUCGUUUCAUAGUUUCAUGUCUUUUUAGUUGCUAUAUAACCAUAUUUUUUCCAUUGGUUGAGUUCUGUAACAAUGAUCUGAUUCAACUGUUAAUUCACUGUAUCAGAGUAUUUCAUUUGGUGGCCAGUACAUUGUAAAGGGCUGUCUUGAGUUGCUCAAUACCAUCUUGAUUUAUGGUUGCUUUCUGAGACAAUAAUUCUGAUUCGAAUACAUUGGUAUUGGUCGUCCAUUAGAUUUCUUUAAUUUAGAGAUUAUCACUUGCAUGGUUUCUUCUGUUUAAUCUGUAUCAUUUCUUAUACAUAGUAGACAAAACUAUUUUCCAGAAAUGCCAAUCUAAUAAACAUAUAGUCCUUUAAUAAAAAAAUAUAAUCAGCUUUUCAAUUGUCAGUUUCACUAGCCAGGUCCAUGCAUGUGGACAAAUAUAACUCAUUGAAAAUCAUCGAACAAAUGUGUAAGGAUUAAAACUUUACUAAAUGGCAUUUGAGUGUGCUUCCAUUGAAACAAAAAUGUCAUGCUUUGAUAACCAACUAUAGUCUAUAGGAUGGUAGCCCAUUGACUAUAAAAUUAUAUAACUUUUAUUAAUAAUAUAUUAAGUUCAUGUUUAAGUCUAUAUCAUUUGUAACACAUGCUCUUCACAUGAAAUCCUCAUUCAUCAAGAUAACUCUUCAUCAUGACUUUGAUGUCUAAAAGAAUGGCAAACUAUACAACAAAUUAAGUAGGUACAAAAACAAUAUCUCAUGUAUAAAGUUCUUUCAUUGUUAUACAUUAGAAUAAUUAGUUAGUGGAAAAUUUUAAGAAAUUAACUUUCUGGUAGCCCAAUUGGAUUGUGACAGUCUUUCACAUUACAGAUACAAAUCGGUGUACAUUGCUGUUGGCUUUUGUAGCAUUUACAUGCUCCAGUUUUGCAUUUUGUUUUGCAACCACAAGAGAUAAGGGAAAGACAACAUGUUGGUAUGCUUGGAAGAGUUGUCCAGACAAUUUCCAGAUUGUCUAAAGAAUCAGAUGCCUUCCAACCUCCAGUCACAACUGGUAGAGGGAGUUCCUGAAACUUAACAGUGGCUUGUAACCAGACAUUUGCCUGAAAAUUGCAUCUUGUUAUAUGCAGGCCUAAAGAAUUUUUAGUUGGUGGCAAUUUCUCAAGCUCUUUGUUACCUCUCUGAAAAAGAUCUACUCUGCAUUGGUUUACCCCAGCUAGUGGAUCUGGUGCACAAUACAACCUGCAAACAAAUUCUUCUACAUCCUGAACAAAGCAAUCCCUUCCAAUGCCAUAGAGCAAGUGAGGGUGCUCUUCAAAAACCUUCCAGCAUUUCUUUUUCCCGUAACCACUAAACGAAGAAGUUGUAUCACACCCAGUGAAUGCGUGAAAGCCUAAUAUAUUCUGAAUUACUCCCUCAGAUAGCUUAUCUGUAAUACUAUUUACGGGAAAGCACUUUUUUUGCUUUGCAUUGCCACCAACCAUCCAAGUUUCAAUUUCUUCAUUUUUUCCAAAAAAAUGAAUUAAUAGCAAAAGAACAUCGGUAUCUCUACACAACACUAUGAUUCUGUUAAAAUUAUUAGCAAUCGCUUCAUGUGCAUGCAGAAUAAGUCGGGUAUCUGCUUCCUCAUGAUUGUUAAAUAAGUUAGGAACCUCACCUCUUUGUGUUGAGCAUGCCUUAGUUGAAUCCACAUACCCACCACUUGUUACCAACUCAUACUGGUGACUAAAUUCCAUCCCAUGGCUCAUAAUGUAUUCAGUAAGGAACCUAGCAAGAUCUGCUUUAUUAUCACUUAAUGCUACAAAAUUUGCCCACACCUGAGGAAGACUUAAAUCACCACGGUUAAUAAUUUUACGAACUGGUCUCUUUUUUAUGCCUCUUUUAGCUCGAGUGGCUGAUUUAAUUGAUUGUUUUACGUAGGUGUCAAAGACAACAUCUACUCGUCUAACAUGUUCAUCAAUAUGUGCCGUGACAGCUCGAAAAAAGACUCUGGCAUAGUCAUCAAAGGUCCUACAGGUUUGAGGUUUUCCAAGAGCUUGAACUAAAGCAUGACCAUCUAUUAAAACACAAGUGUUUUGAUGCAUGGUUGGUGCAGGAAUUGUGUGAGGGAUUGUUUCCCCAUCCAUCAAAAUGUUAACCAAAUCUGACUUAGUUGUUGAGUUAAGAGUGCCAUUUACCUUUGCUAGAGAAAGAGGAACAUUAGAAAGCUCAUGUUUAAGAAUAUCAUGCAUAUCAAUGUUACGACCUGCUAGGGAUACUGUUAGAAGACGUUGUAAUAAUUUCCUAUCAGCCUUAAUAACUUUUUUCUCAUUCUGUAUGCUAAUAGAGGAAGCAUACAAUGUGGCAAAUGUUUUUGAUUUGUUUUUUUUUAUUGGAUCAAAAAAAGGCAUAUCCUUCCUUAACAGCCAUUUACCUAUGUUCUCUAGUACCAUCUGUUGCCCUCGUUGCUGUGCUGUCAACAUAUCAUGUUGUAUAUCACCAGUUGCAACAUCAUUGGUUGCCAGAGAAGUUAACUGAUGCAUAUCUACAUCCAUCCUUUCCCCCUCAUUUUCUACAUUUUCAGCAAUUUCUUCAAGGGCAACGUAGCCAUCAAGAGGAUCAAAUGUAUUUAUCUUAAAUACAUUAAAUCUUAAAAAGAGUUCUUUCAAGUCACUGACUGCAUUUUCAUCAACACUCACUCUGCCUGGCUGUGCGUCCUUCCUGGUAGAAAUUGUAUCAUUUGCAUCAUCAUCUACACCAAAUAACACUCUAGUAGAGUGAGAAAUAUAUGAACGUUCUGCCCAUGUUAUGCAGAACUUGUCCCUAGCAGUAUCAUUCCUAGUUAUUCCUAUAAUGCCAUUUGAUAUUUUGCAGAUUUUGUUCUGCCAUUCAGUAGCUUGGUCGAGAGGUAUCUGAUUAAAUUUUAGUUGACUCCUCUUAACUACAAAGUUUCCAUUCAGAAACUCCUCAUAAACUAGUGUAUGUGUGUUUUGUAAGUUUUUCAUUUCACACAAGUAAACAGCACCCCACCUAGCAUAAUUUGUAUGGUCAUAGAUUGUCAUCCAUGGAAGCAUUGCUGAAAAUGAAUCUAAGUGAAGGGCCCAGUUACCCUCCCGAUUAGCCCUGAUAAAGUCUAGCAAUGUUUCAACCAUCUUCAUGUAUGACCUCCAAAGAACAAAAUUGGGUAAAUGCUGCAGUGUAUUAUCAAAUUCAUCCAUCAUACCUAAAACAUCAUGCGUCUUUAGAGUAGUGACUAAACAAUUUACUGCUUUAACUGCUUCAUCAUCAGAAUUUCUGUGACUGAAUGCCUUUACUAUUUGAUCUGUCAUUGAUUUUAAAUUAACCUCCCUUUCAUUAGAUGUUAACCAAGAAGUAAAAUAUUGCCAAUAAAUUCGACUUAAAGCUUCAUAUGUUAAUAGAUGACCUCUUACAGCUCGAUAAUAUUGCUUCCCUUCUAACAUUGCACCAGUAGUAUUUUGCGCAAAAACACCAGACUCAACCCAUAUAUCUGCAAGCCCUGAAUUUUCCAUAUGUUGACCUAUUGCUUUAAGAAAGUUAAAGAGAACGUGCAAAUGGCCCAUAACCAAAACUACAUUCUGAUAUUUUUCAGGGUUGGCCCAAAUAAUUUCCUUGCCUCUACUGUACAAAGGUUGAUCUACUGCUAUUACAGUAUUUGGCUGGCCAAGAUGUUUAGCAAUUGAUGUAAAGCGGUUAAGUAUGGUUGUCAUGGUAUUAUUAUCAUCUGCAGGAGCCUGAAGUAUAGGCAACAUACCAGGCGUAGUAAUGGGUGAGUUAACUAAGCUAAUCUUCUCAUUAAAAGCAGCCCAAGCUGGCACCAUUUGUUGAGAGGUUUGGCACAUACGUGCUAUUAUCCAUGCCAUAUUUUUCAUUUUUGACUCAACCUGAUUAUUGCUUUUAUUAAACCACUUUUCUAUUUCUAGGUCAGGAGGAAGGUUACUAACUGGCUUUGGCCUUUCACCAACUGGCAUGCUGGCAUGAUCUAACUUAUGGAAUUGAUCUAAGCUAUCUCUUGUUAUUGUUUUUGCCCUGUUG
rnacentral:lncRNA from 1 species